rnacentral:rRNA from 1 species
GAUGAACGCUAGCUACAGGCUUAACACAUGCAAGUCGAGGGGUAACAAGAGGAAAGCUUGCUUUUCUUGUUGACGACCGGCGCACGGGUGAGUAACGCGUAUCCAACCUGCCUAUAACUAGGGAAUAACCUUGCGAAAGUAAGACUAAUACACUAUGAUUUCCUUUGAUGGCAUCAGAUUAGGAAUAAAGAUUUAUCGGUUAUAGAUGGGGAUGCGUCUGAUUAGCUUGUUGGCGGGGUAACGGCCCACCAAGGCAACGAUCAGUAGGGGUUCUGAGAGGAAGGUCCCCCACAUUGGAACUGAGACACGGUCCAAACUCCUACGGGAGGCAGCAGUGAGGAAUAUUGGUCAAUGGGCGGAAGCCUGAACCAGCCAAGUAGCGUGCAGGAUGACGGCCCUAUGGGUUGUAAACUGCUUUUAUACAGGAAUAAAGUUAGCCACGUGUGGUUAUUUGUAGGUACUGUAUGAAUAAGGACCGGCUAAUUCCGUGCCAGCCGCCGCUGUAAGAC